CUACGGGGUGCUGCAGUGGGGAAUAUUGCACAAUGGGCGCAAGCCUGAUGCAGCCAUGCCGCGUGUAUGAAGAAGGCCUUCGGGUUGUAAAGUACUUUCAGCGGGGAGGAAGGGAGUAAAGUUAAUACCUUUGCUCAUUGACGUUACCCGCAGAAGAAGCACCGGCUAACUCCGUGCCAGCAGCCGCGGUAAUACGGAGGGUGCAAGCGUUAAUCGGAAUUACUGGGCGUAAAGCGCACGCACGCGUGUUUGUUAAGUCAGAUGUGAAAUCCCCGGGCUCAACCUGGGAACUGCAUCUGAUACUGGCAAGCUUGAGUCUCGUAGAGGGGGGUAGAAUUCCAGGUGUAGCGGUGAAAUGCGUAGAGAUCUGGAGGAAUACCGGUGGCGAAGGCGGCCCCCUGGACGAAGACUGACGCUCAGGUGCGAAAGCGUGGGGAGCAAACAGGAUUAGAUACCCCCGUAGUC
rnacentral:rRNA from 1 species